GACGAACCGAGCGAACGUUAUUCGGAAUCACUGGGCUUAAAGGGCGCGUAGGCGGGCCAUCAAGUCAGGGGUGAAAGCCCCAGCUCAACUGGGGAAGUGCCUUGGAAACUGCCGGUCUCGAGGGAGGUAGGGGCAUGUGGAACUUCGGGUGGAGCGGUGAAAUGCGUUGGAUAUCGAAGGAACGCCGGUGGCGAAAGCGACGUGCUGGACCUCUACUGACGCUGAGGCGCGAAAGCCAGGGGAGCAAACGGGG
rnacentral:rRNA from 1 species